UACGGAGGGUGCGAGCGUUAAUCGGAAUUACUGGGCGUAAAGCGCACGCAGGCGGUUUGUUAAGCAAGAUGUGAAAGCCCCGGGCUCAACCUGGGAACUGCAUUUUGAACUGGCAGACUAGAGUCUUGGAGAGGGGGGUGGAAUUCCAGGUGUAGCGGUGAAUGCGUAGAGAUCUGGAGGAACAUCAGUGGCGAAGGCGGCCCCCUGGCCAAAAGCACUGACGCUCAUGUGCGAAAAGUGUUGGGUAGCGAAACAGGAUUAGAUACCCCGGGUAGUCC
rnacentral:rRNA from 1 species